AUAAAAGAGAAGAAAUUUCCGAUGGCUGUGGGAAUGUAACAAAAUUUUAAAGUAGCGAUUUAAGAUAAUCAAUCAUCUACAAACACGUUUUCGGCCACAGCGAAUACGUUCACCACUAAGAAUAUCGGUGGUGCGCUCUCAAAGUAAAAAAAAAAGAGUUCAAUGGACUGGCACUGGUUUCACCAAGAACGAUGAGCGAGAAGCGAUUGUAGCUAAAAACUAGAAAUGAGAUGGCGCGCGAGCAGCGAGAAGCGAGUAUAGUUCUGUUGCAACCGGAAAGCGAUGAUCACACGGCAAAUCAAAUCCUGAAGACUAUAGCAGCCACGUCAAAGAAAGAUAUACCUAUCUACCUACCUACCUACCUACCUAUUAAAAAAAAUGUUUAUUCUUUCUCGUUUGAUAUGGAGUGCGCAAAAGAAUUGCACGACCUGAUCCCAGCUUUCCCUUUCCGGACGUCCAGGCGCGAGGAGCGAAUGCACCCGUUCGUUGUUAAUAUUCCAUUUGUCCGCACAAAACGAUUUGCCUCAUCUUUUUUGGUAAGGACGAUUAAGGAAUGGAAUGCGCUUCCGUCAUCUGUGUUUCCUGGGAAAUUUGACCUCGGUCUCUUUAAAGCAAGAGUGAAUAGGCUAUUACUUACUGAGCCGGUAAGCUCCAUCAUCUUAAUAGGCUCUGUUUUCACUUUCCAUCAGGUGUGACUAGAGCCA